rnacentral:tRNA from 1 species
AAGGUCCUAGUUUAAUUAGAGCAUCUGAGUUGCAAUCAGGAGGUGCAGGUUAAUGUCCUGCGGACUUUA